rnacentral:rRNA from 1 species
AGAGUUUGAUCCUGGCUCAGAAUGAACGCUGGCGGCGUGCCUAACACACGCAAGUCGCACGAGAAAGUCCCAGCUUGCUGGGGCAAGUAAAGUGGCGCACGGGUGAGUAACGCGUGGGUAAUCUACCUCCGAAUUGGGGAUAACACUGCGAAAGCGGUGCUAAUACCGAAUGACAUCCCCGAGACUCCGGUCUUGGUGAUCAAAGGUGGCCUCUACAUGUAAGCUAUUGUUUGGAGAUGAGCCCGCGUACCAUUAGCUAGUUGGUAGGGUAACGGCCUACCAAGGCUGCGAUGGUUAGCUGGUCUGAGAGGAUGAUCAGCCACACUGGAACUGACACACGGUCCAGACUCCUACGGGAGGCAGCAGUGAGGAAUUUUGCGCAAUGGGGGAAACCCUGACGCAGCAACGCCGCGUGAAUGAUGAAGGUCUUCGGAUCGUAAAGUUCUGUCUUCAGGGACGAUAAUGACGGUACCUGAGGAGGAAGCCACGGCUAACUACGUGCCAGCAGCCGCGGUAAUACGUAGGUGGCAAGCGUUGUCCGGAUUUACUGGGCGUAAAGGGAGCGUAGGCGGAUUUUUAAGUGAGAUGUGAAAUACUCAGGCUCAACCUGGGGGCUGCAUUUCAAACUGGAAGUCUAGAGUGCAGGAGAGGAGAGUGGAAUUCCUAGUGUAGCGGUGAAAUGCGUAGAGAUUAGGAAGAACACCAGUGGCGAAGGCGACUCUCUGGACUGUAACUGACGCUGAGGCUCGAAAGCGUGGGGAGCAAACAGGAUUAGAUACCCUGGUAGUCC